CAGCCAACGAUCGAGUGAUUCACUGUUUCAUCAGGUUGCGGAUAAAAUAUGGAAGAAUGCCUCCAUGGCCUAAAUGCCUAAAUAAGCCAACUCCACCUCAGUGUCAAAGCGAACUGUGCAGUUGAAAGACUUUCCAUUAUCAGUGGUGACAGUUACAUCUUGGCCAGGCCUUAUGUCACUGAUGUUGCUUGGGAGGUCAAUGGUAUACCGCUCAUGA
rnacentral:misc_RNA from 1 species